GGCAUAGUGGUUAAAAGUUUGGCUGCUAACCAAAAGGUUGGUGGUUCAAAUCCACCAGGUGCUC
rnacentral:tRNA from 1 species